GCUACUAAAGAGCACACAGGAAAUACUGGGAGACUGACCUACAGCUGGCAGGCAGCCCAUGAAAACUUCACCAGCAAGAAGAGGGGGCUGGAAGAAAGUGAAGAGGAUCCUAAUGAAGAAAUACUAAAUUUUACAGGCUGGGACUAGAGAGGUUUCAGGGAGCUAAUGCAUUGGGUUUGUGUAGCAGGGUAGCUUCCAUGAGAAGUUGCC